rnacentral:rRNA from 1 species
AACGGAGCGCCGGACACGGACUAUUUCGGUAGGAAGCGUGCGGAGGCUUAGUGGCGGACGGGUGAGUAACGCGUGGAUAACCUGCCGCAUACCGGGGGAUAACAGCUGGAAACAGCUGCUAAUACCGCAUAUGCCCGCAGUGCCGCAUGGCACAGCGGGGAAAACUCCGGUGGUAUGCGAUGGGUCCCCGUCUGAUUAGGCAGUUGGCGGGGUAACGGCCCACCAAUCCGACGAUCAGUACCCGGCCUGAGAGGGCGGACGGCCACACUGGGACUGAGACACGGCCCAGACUCCCUGCGGGAGGCAGCAUUGGGGAAUAUUGCACAAUGGAGGAAACCUUGAUGGGGGGGGGGGGAAAAAAAANNNUAGUAUCUCCCCCCCCCCCUUCUAUCAGCAGGGAAGAAAACAGACGAUACCUGACUAAGAAGCCCCGGCUAACUACGUGCCAGCAGCCGCGGUAAUACGUAGGGGGCAAGCGUUAUCCGGAUUUACUGGGUGUAAAGGGGGUGCAGACGGCCAUGGCAAGCCCGGUGUGAAAGGCAGGGGCAUAACCCCUGGACUGCACUGGGAACUGUCAGGCUGGAGUGCCGGAGGGGUAAGCGGAAUUCCUGGUGUAGCGGUGAA